rnacentral:tRNA from 1 species
CGCGGGGUGGAGCAGGCUCGGUAGGCUCGCUGGGCUCAUAACCCAGAGGUCGCAGGUUCAAAUCCUGCCCCCGCUACCA